CCUACGGGGUGCAGCAGUGAGGAAUAUUGGUCAAUGGGCGGGAGCCUGAACCAGCCAAGCCGCGUGAGGGAAGAAGGUACAGCGUAUCGUAAACCUCUUUUGUCAGGGAACAAAGGCGGGGACUAGUCCCCGGAUGAGGGUACCUGAAGAAAAAGCAUCGGCUAACUCCGUGCCAGCAGCCGCGGUAAUACGGAGGAUGCGAGCGUUAUCCGGAUUUAUUGGGUUUAAAGGGUGCGCAGGCGGCCUGUUAAGUCAGCGGUAAAAGCCCGGGGCUCAACCCCGGCGAGCCGUUGAAACUGGCGGGCUGGAGUGCGGGAGGGGCAGGCGGAAUUCCUGGUGUAGCGGUGAAAUGCGUAGAUAUCAGGAGGAACACCGGCGGCGAAGGCGGCCUGCUGGACUGCGACUGACGUUGAGGCUCGAAAGCGUGGGGAGCGAACAGGAUUAGAUACCCCAGUAGUC
rnacentral:rRNA from 1 species